rfam:Firmicutes bacterium CAG:194 genomic scaffold, scf7
UGAUACCAGGGGCACAAUCCUGAAGCCGUGCCAUGCUUGCAUGUGCAUGGCUGACAGGAUUAGUGCCCCGCACACACAUGAGCAUAAGAGUGUGGCGAAGCACCACGAUAUGCGAAUGUGUGUCGGGAUUGCGAGAGUGUAAAACACGGAGCAAUCCCGAGGUAUCU